GACGAACGCUGGCGGCGUGCCUAAUACAUGCAAGUAGAACGCUGAAGGAGGAGCUUGCUCUUCUGGAUGAGUUGCGAACGGGUGAGUAACGCGUAGGUAACCUGCCUGGUAGCGGGGGAUAACUAUUGGAAACGAUAGCUAAUACCGCAUAACAGUAGAUGUUGCAUGACAUUUACUUAAAAGGUGCAAUUGCAUCACUACCAGAUGGACCUGCGUUGUAUUAGCUAGUUGGUGGGGUAACGGCUCACCAAGGCGACGAUACAUAGCCGACCUGAGAGGGUGAUCGGCCACACUGGGACUGAGACACGGCCCAGACUCCCACAGGAGGCAGCAGUAGGGAAUCUUCGGCAAUGGACGGAAGUCUGACCGAGCAACGCCGCGUGAGUGAAGAAGGUUUUCGGGUCGUCAAGCUCUGUUUUAUGAGAAGAACGAGUGUGAGAGUGGAAAGUUCACACUGUGACGGUACCUUACCAGAAAGCGACGGCUAACUACGUG
rnacentral:rRNA from 1 species